rnacentral:rRNA from 1 species
GACGAACGCUGGCGGCGUGGAUUAGGCAUGCAAGUCGAACGGUAUCAUCCUUCGGGGUGAGAGAGUGGCGAACUGGUGAGUAACACGUAGGUUAUCUACCCUCAAGACGGGACAACCCAGGGAAACUUGGGCUAAUACCGGAUGUGAGCAACUUUUAGUUGUUUGAAAGGUGGCGUAAGCUGUCGCUUGGGGAUGAGCCUGCGUCCUAUUAGUUAGUUGGUGAGGUAACGGCUCACCUAGGCAAUGAUAGGUAGGCGGCCUUAACGGGUGGUCGCCCACACUGGGAUUGAGAUACGGCCCAGACUCCUACGGGAGGCAGCAGUCGAGAAUAGUCUACAAUGGUCGGAAGACUGAUAGUGCGACGCCGCGUGAACGAUGAAUCCCUUCGGGGUGUAAAGUUCUUUUAUAUGUGAGCAGUGCUUCUUAUAUUAACAGUAUGGGGAGAGAGAUAUUAGCAUAUGAAUAAGCAACGGCUAACUCCGUG